rnacentral:lncRNA from 1 species
GGGAGUAACCAAGAGUAGAGGCGCUGUUUAAGGGAAAAAGUAUCCGGAUUACCAUGUUAGUAGUGACGGAAGAACAUAUUAUUUAAGAAUAAUCUAGUAUAUAGUAAGCCAAUAUGACCAUAUUUUGUUGUGUACAUGAUUGAAGGGAAUAUUUUGAAAAAAGCAAAUUUAUGAAAAUGAAUGAUAAUAUAUCUGAUGUGAUGGUAGAUAAAUUCAAGAUAC